rnacentral:rRNA from 1 species
AACGAACGCUGGCGGCAGGCUUAACACAUGCAAGUCGAACGCAUCCUUCGGGGUGAGUGGCAGACGGGUGAGUAACGCGUGGGAACGUGCCCUUCAGUUCGGGAUAACCCAGGGAAACUUGGGCUAAUACCGGAUACGUGCGAGAGCAGAAAGAUUUAUCGCUGAAGGAUCGGCCCGCGUCUGAUUAGCUAGUUGGUGGGGUAAUGGCCCACCAAGGCGACGAUCAGUAGCUGGUCUGAGCGGAUGAUCAGCCACAUUGGGACUUAGACACGGCCCAAACUCCUACGGGAGGCAGCAGUGGGGAAUAUUUGACAAUGGGCGCAAGCCUGAUCCAGCCAUGCCGCGUGUGUGAUGAAGGCCUUAGGGUUGUAAAGCUCUUUCGUCCGGGACGAUAAUGACGGUACCGGAAGAAGAAGCCCCGGCUAACUUCGUGCCAGCCGCCGCCGUAA